rnacentral:rRNA from 1 species
GCGCGAAAACUUUACAAUGCGGGCAACCGUGAUAAGGAAACCCCGAGUGCCACCACAGGGUGGCUGUCCACCAGUGUAAAAAACUGGUGAAGAAAGGGCCGGGCAAGACCGGUGCCAGCCGCCGCGGUAAUACCGGCGGCUCGAGUGGUGGCCGCUUUUACUGGGCUUAAAGGGUCCGUAGCUGGAUUCACAAGUCCCUUGAGAAAUCCAUCGGCUUAACUGAUGGGCGUUCAGGGGAUACUGUGGUUCUAGGGACCGGGAGAGGUGAGAGGUACUGCCGGGGUAGGAGUGAAAUCCUGUAAUCCCGGUGGGACGACCUAUGGCGAAGGCAUCUCACCAGAACGGCUCCGACAGUGAGGGACGAAAGCUGGGGGAGCAAACCGGAUUAGAUACCCGGGUAGUCCCAGCUGUAAACGAUGCGCGUUAGGUGUGUCAGUGAUCACGUGUCACUGAGAUGCCGAAGGGAAACCGUGAAACGCGCCGCCUGGGGAGUACGGUCGCAAGGCUGAAACUUAAAGGAAUUGGCGGGGGA